rnacentral:rRNA from 1 species
GAUCCUGGCUCAGGAUGAACGCUAGCGACAGGCUUAACACAUGCAAGUCGAGGGGUAGCGGGGGUAGCAAUACCCGCCGGCGACCGGCGCACGGGUGAGUAACGCGUAUGCAACUUGCCUAUCAGAGGGGGAUAACCCGGCGAAAGUCGGACUAAUACCGCAUGAAACAGGGGCCCCGCAUGGGGAUAUUUGCUAAAGAUUCAUCGCUGAUAGAUAGGCAUGCGUUCCAUUAGGCAGUUGGCGGGG